GAUGAACGCUGGCGGCGUGCCUAAUACAUGCAAGUCGAGCGAACAGAUAAGGAGCUUGCUCCUUUGACGUUAGCGGCGGACGGGUGGGUAACACGUGGGUAACCUACCUAUAAGACUGGAAUAACUCCGGGAAACCGGGGCUAAUGCCGGAUAACAUUUAGAACCGCAUGGUUCUAAAGUGAAAGAUGGUUUUGCUAUCACUUAUAGAUGGACCCGCGCCGUAUUAGCUAGUUGGUAAGGUAACGGCUUACCAAGGCAACGAUACGUAGCCGACCUGAGAGGGUGAUCGGCCACACUGGAACUGAGACACGGUCCAGACUCCUACGGGAGGCAGCAGUAGGGAAUCUUCCGCAAUGGGCGAAAGCCUGACGGAGCAACGCCGCGUGAGUGAUGAAGGUCCUCGGAUCGUAAAACUCUGUUAUUAGGGAAGAACAAAUGUGUAAGUAACUGUGCACGUCUUGACGGUACCUAAUCAGAAAGCCACGGCUAACUACGUG
rnacentral:rRNA from 1 species